rnacentral:rRNA from 1 species
GACGAACGCUGGCGGCGUGCUUAACACAUGCAAGUCGAACGGAAAGGCCUUUUCGGAGGUACUCGAGUGGCGAACGGGUGAGUAACACGUGGGUGAGCUGCCCUGCACUCGGGGAUAAGCCUGGGAAACUGGGUCUAAUACCGGAUAGGACCGCACUUUAGUGUGUGUGGUGGAAAGUUUUUUCGGUGUAGGAUGAGCCCGCGGCCUAUCAGCUUGUUGGUGGGGUAAUGGCCUACCAAGGCGGCGACGGGUAGCCGGACUGAGAGGUUGGGCGGCCACAUUGGGACUGUGCGACGGCCAAGACUGCUGAGUGGGGCAGCAGUGGGGAAUAUUGCACAAUGGGAGCAAGCCUGAAGCAGCGACGCCGCGUGGGGGAUGACGGCCUUCGGAUUGUACAAUCCUUUCGCCAGGGACGAAGCGUUUUGUGACGGUACCUGGAGAAGAAGCACCGGCUAACUACGUG